GGACUGCUUGGGGUUAGGCUGGGCAUCGGUCAGCGAGUGCACUUCUUCAGAAUGUAUUCUGAAAAUAAGGAAGCUGUGCCAUGGUUAUUAACUGCAAAAUGAAUCUGAAUAUUUACAGUGCGUGACAUAGAGAAUAUAUUCCUAACAGGUAACAGGAAGUCAGAACUGAGCUGUAGUAGAUGAUGAAAAUCUCCCUUCAGCUAUAGAGAUUACAGGCAAGUAAACAGAGCAAUACGCAUCCUCAGUCUACAUCCCGUCAAGUACUGUAUCUGAAAAUUACCAUUUUAUUCUUAUGCUCUUGAUGAUAUUGUGAUAUUUAUUCAGCUAUUUUUCAAUUUCUCUUUGAUUUUUAUUGAUUUAACACACUUUUAUCACUUUUUUAUUACAAUAAAUUUAGAAAAUAACAAAGAAUGUUACAGAGUAUAUUAAAAUUAUCAGAAAUGUUUUUUUAUUAUU